GAGAUGGCCUUUUUGCUAUAGGACCACCUACCCCUUGGUGCAGGUUCGUACGUACGGACAACUCCAGGACCAUCCCUGUGUUAGGCAAGCAUUUAAUUCCCUUCGGCGUGCGAGUGGACAUGGCUGCGAAAUGACUGGACCCGCAGUCUUUUCUUUUUGUGACCGGGUUUGAGGGAAAAGAACCGGAAUCUAGGAAAGGGCUGACUUUAAGGCUGAAAUGGGCUGGGCCGGUCUGAUUGAGUGACUUAAAUAGGAGUCCGAUCAGGAGGAUGGACGGGUUGGGCCAGACUUAUUCGGGGGUUUAGGAGU
rnacentral:lncRNA from 1 species